rnacentral:lncRNA from 1 species
AGUGGAGCAAGAGAGAAACUUUUUGCAAGUCAAACAGGAACAGGGGGAUUUCUACUGUUUCCCGCAAUCUUAAGUAGCCUUUAAGAGGCAAUGUGAGUGUUUCCACUCAAAAAAUCUGUUCAUGUUCUUUUCUAUCAGAACUGUGUAGCACCUUUUUCAAAAUUUUCUUUAAUGGGCAUCCAAAAUCUAGAAUUGAAGUAAGGACAAUCAAAAUGUGUCUUGCAUACUUAGUCUACUUGAUGACAUUACAGAGAUGGAUG